AUUGAACGCUGGCGGCAGGCCUAACACAUGCAAGUCGAACGAGUGGCGGACGGGUGAGUAAUGUCUGGGAAACUGCCUGAUGGAGGGGGAUAACUACUGGAAACGGUAGCUAAUACCGCAUACCAUCAGAUGUGCCCAGGUGGGAUUAGCUCGUUGGUGGGGUAACGGCUAACCAAGGCGACUAGCCCUAGCUGGUCUGAGAGGAUGACCAGCCACACUGGAACUGAGAAACGGUCCAGACUCCUACGGGAGGCAGCAGUGGGGAAUAUUGGACAAUGGGCGCAAGCCUGAUGCAGCCAUGCCGCGUGUAGGAAGAAGGCCUUCGGGUUGUAAAGUACUUUCAGCGGGGAGGCGUUACCCGCAGAAGAAGCACCGGCUAACUCCGUGCCAGCAGCCGCGGUAAUUC
rnacentral:rRNA from 1 species